CGCAAAUUCUAUGCGGUGGCCCUUAUUUAGCCAUUCAUUUUAGAAGGAAGGAUUUUAUUUUAAAUCGAAGGGAUUCAUUUUUAACUGCAACAGAGGCUGCUGUACAAGCUAAAAAGAAGUUGCAGGUACUAAAUUUGGAUAAAGUUUUCGUAGCAACUGAUGCAGAAGAAAGUGAAUACAUCCAGCUUAAAAAUGAAUUAAUAAAUUACACGGUUUUACGUUUCACACCACCGCAAUCAGUACGGAAAAAAAUCAAAGAUGGUGGUGUUGCUAUCGUGGAUCAGAUAAUAUGUUCACAAGCAAGGUAUUUAAGUUUUAUAGUGAUAGUAUGUUUUAAAUCAGUGUAUGUAUAAUAGUAAAAAAAUUCUUCCAAAGAUA